AUUCUUUUUUAAAAAGAAUAGGGCGCGGAGCGCGAGGCGCCCCACAUAGAAAAAACAUGAGGGUUUGAUUCAAUGCUCCGUAAGCAUGCGACAAUAAACGGACAGACACAUGCAAGGUCUAUAAAAUGACCGUAAAGGUGAGUAAUAACGC
rnacentral:rRNA from 1 species